AAUAGAUACCCCGGUAGUCCAUGCCGUAAACGUUGGGAACUAGAUGUAGGGCCUGUUCCACGGGUUCUGUGUCGUAGCUAACGCAUUAAGUUCCCCGCCUGGGGAGUACGGCCGCAAGGCUAAAACUCAAAGGAAUUGACGGGGGCCCGCACAAGCGGCGGAGCAUGCGGAUUAAUUCGAUGCAACGCGAAGAACCUUACCAAGGCUUGACAUAUACGAGAACACUGUAGAGAUACAGGACUCUUUGGACACUCGUAUACAGGUGGUGCAUGGUUGUCGUCAGCUCGUGUCGUGAGAUGUUCGGUUAAGUCCGGCAACGAGCGCAACCCUCGUCCUAUGUUGCCAGCACGUGAUGGUGGGAACUCAUGGGAUACUGCCGUGGUCAACACGGAGGAAGGUGGGGAUGACGUCAAAUCAUCAUGCCCCUUAUGUCUUGGGCUUCACGCAUGCUACAAUGGCCGGUACAAAGGGCUGCGAUACCGUAAGGUGGAGCGAAUCCCAAAAAGUCGGUCUCAGUUCGGAUUGGGGU
rnacentral:rRNA from 1 species